AUUGAACGCUGGCGGCAGGCCUAACACAUGCAAGUCGCACGGUAGCACAGAGAGCUUGCUCUCGGGUGACGAGUGGCGGACGGGUGAGUAACGUCCGGGAAACUGCCCGAUGGAGGGGGAUACCUACUGGAAACGGUAGCUAAUACCGCAUAACGUCGCAAGACCAAAGUGGGGGACCUUCGGGCCGCACCACAUCGGAUGUGCCCAGAUGGGAUUAGCUAGUAGGUGGGGUAAUGGCUCACCUAGGCGACGAUCCCUAGCUGGUCUGAGAGGAUGACCAGCCACACUGGAACUGAGACACGGUGCAGACUCCUACGGGAGGCAGCAGUGGGGAAUAUUGCACAAUGGGCGCAAGCCUGAUGCAGCCAUGCCGCGUGUAUGAAAAAGGCCUUCGGGUUGUAAAGUACUUUCAGCGGGGAGGAAGGCGGUGAAGUUAAUAGCUUCACCGGUUGACGUUACCCGCAGAAGAAGCACCGGCUAACUCCGUGCCAGCCGCCGCCGUAAGAC
rnacentral:rRNA from 1 species